CACCUACUGAAAAAUAAAAGGUACAUUUCUACAUUUUCUAAUCUGGUUUUCUUCCCAUUAAGAGACAGAUGAAUAUUUACAAUUUUAAAGCAAACCCUCCAUUUUCAGUAACAUCUGUAUCUUAUUCAUAGUAUUUUCCUCUUGUCCAGGAACGCACCAUUACAGAGUAUCCGGCUGAAGCAGUCAUUGUUUCUCAUUUUGCCACCGAAGAUUUGGGGCUGCAUACAGCAGUAGCUUUAAAAGGUGUAAGAAACAAAAAGUCAUUUUAACUGGAGUUAUCUGUCGACCUACCCACAUUUCACUUGUCUCCUCUGCACUAAAAGGACAUAAACUGAUUGCACUGGUUGCAAACUACAGGGAGGUAAAUUAUUUAAGGCAUUCCCUCUUCUUCACAGCAAAGUUUCUUGACUCUCUCCAACUCCUUUCACUGUUUACAUCUCCAGAUUUCCUCGCCUUGUGUUGACUUACCUCCACCUCCCUUCCAUAGUCCAUAUUGUAUUCCAGAACCUUUCACCUCCACCACCUCCUCAUGGACAGAUUUGAGCUGCUCCUGGCCAGACACAGUUGAGACCAGAGCAGCUGCUGCUUUUCCCACAAGUGAGGUCCCUUGGGAGGUUCAGCAACAUGUGGUGAACUGACAGGAGGUUGGGGCCAGGCUUUCCAAAACGGAGACACAUUCAGCACCAAGUCUUAAAAUUGAGUUGGGUGUGUGUGUAUAUGUGUAUGGUGGGGGAGGGGGGGAGUAAAGUGUUAGCCUAUAGCUUCUCCAAGCCACCUUGUACCUUGUUUACCAGAAUGUAGAACAAGGCAGGUGUUUUUCAGGUCUGCUUAGAAAAAAAACACCCCACACCCACACCUGGCUUUCUAUUCAAGACAUUGCCUGCUAAUUUUAUAGACUGAUAAAACCAGGCAUGGACUUCACAUUAUAAAACCACGAAGAGAUCAUUUGAUUGAAAAAAAAAUCUUACCUUUUUCCUUUAUCACUGAAACAAUUACCAUUAGAUGAUGCAUAUUUUGACAUUACUCUCUGAAAGUACCACAAAGUUAUCCUAUUUUGCUUUGAUGUGUAAAUAUCUUGGCUUGCAUUACCUGUUUUCACUGACAUAUCAAUCUCUUCUAUGUCGUUCAGAUUUUCUUCAGUAACAUCAAGCACUGAAAAUUUUUUCUCACUUGUACUUGCGGAGUUGUCUUCGACAAAGGCCUCCUUGGGGUUCCAAGAAAAUCUCUGCAUACCUUUGAAAACGGUUUCCAUUUCUAUCCUGCCGCCUUUCCCACUCUUUUUCAGUAACAUCUCUAAAACAAAAAUAAAACAAGCAAAAAUUAAGAGUGAAUCUGGAAAGUAUCUUCAGAAUGGGUUCAAGCCUGGAUGUAAGAGACUGACGAUUUGAUGGAGUCUCCCUUAGAGAACGAUGGAUGAGCCUCUGUCUGUGAUUCCAGAACUGAGAACUCAUGUGGAGGAAUGGAUUCUAGGGCUAGUGUUUGCCCAGCACCACUCACAGUCUCUCUUCUCUGCCAGUUAUGUUUCCACUGGGGCAUGGAGUGCCACGAGUGGG